CUUCCGUAGGUGAACCUGCGGAAGGAUCAUUACCGAGUGCGGGCCCUCUGGGUCCAACCUCCCAUCCGUGUCUAUCUGUACCCUGUUGCUUCGGCGUGGCCACGGCCCGCCGGAGACUAACAUUUGAACGCUGUCUGAAGUUUGCAGUCUGAGUUUUUAGUUAAACAAUCGUUAAAACUUUCAACAACGGAUCUCUUGGUUCCGGCAUCGAUGAAGAACGCAGCGAAAUGCGAUAAUUAAUGUGAAUUGCAGAAUUCAGUGAAUCAUCGAGUCUUUGAACGCACAUUGCGCCCCCUGGUAUUCCGGGGGGCAUGCCUGUCCGAGCGUCAUUGCUGCCCUCAAGCACGGCUUGUGUGUUGGGCUUCCGUCCCUGGCAACGGGGACGGGCCCAAAAGGCAGUGGCGGCACCAUGUCUGGUCCUCGAGCGUAUGGGGCUUUGUCACCCGCUCCCGUAGGUCCAGCUGGCAGCUAGCCUCGCAACCAAUCUUUUUAACCAGGUUGACCUCGGAUCAGGUAGGGAUACCCGCUGAACUUAAGCAUAUCAAUAAGCGGAGGA
rnacentral:rRNA from 1 species